CUUGGCACUAAGAGCCGAUGAAAGACGUGAUAAGCUGCGAAAAGCUUCGGGGAGGAGCAAAUAUCCAUUGAUCCGGAGAUAUCUGAAUGGGGAAACCCGGCUGAGAAGACCUCAGUCAUCCAUACGCCAAUACAUAACGUAUGGAAGGGAACCCGCUGAACUGAAACAUCUAAGUAGGCGGAGGAAGAGAAAGAAACAUCGAUUCCCAAAGUAGCGGCGAGCGAAAUGGGAAGAGCCCAAACCAGAGUGCGUGCACUCUGGGGUUACGGACUGCAUAAGUGAGCUGAUUCGUUAAUGGAACGGUCCUGGAAAGACCGGCCAGAGAGAGUGAAAGCCUCGUACAUGAAAACGAUAAGCAGCGGCAGGAUCCAGAGUACCGCGAGACACGUGGAACCUUGCGGGAAUUCGGGGGGACCACCCCCCAAGGCUAAAUACUCCUUAGUGACCGAUAGCGCAUAGUACUGUGAAGGAAAGGUGAAAAGGACCCCGGGAGGGGAGUGAAAGAGAACCUGAAACCCUGUGUUUACAAGCUGUGGAAGCACGUUAAGGUGCAACCGCGUACUUUUUGUAGAACGGUCCGGCGAGUUGCGGAUGCUGGCGAGGUUAAGGAGUAAAGCUCCGGAGCCGAAGCGAGAGCGAGUCUUAAUAGGGCGUAAAGUCAGCAUGUGCAGACCCGAAACCGGGUGACCUAUCCAUGUCCAGGUUGAAGUUCCCGUAAAAGGGAAUGGAGGACCGAACGCACAUCCGUUGAAAAGGGUGGCGAUGAGGUGUGGAUAGGGGAGAAAUUCCAAUCGAACCCGGAGAUAGCUGGUUCUCCUCGAAAUAGCUUUAGGGCUAGCCUCGUAUUAGUUUAGCGGAGGUAGAGCACUGAAUUUCCUAGGGGGCGUCAAAGUCUACCGAAGAAUAUCAAACUCCGAAUGCCGCAUAAAUGAUGUACGGGAGUCAGACUGCACGAGAUAAGUUGGGUAGUCAAAAGGGAAAGAGCCCAGACCUACAGCUAAGGUCCCAAAGUGUGUGUUAAGUGGAAAAGGAUGUGGGAUUUCGAAGACAACUAGGAUGUUGGCUCAGAAGCAGCCACACAUUCAAAGAGUGCGUAAUAGCUCACUAGUCGAGAGGUCCUGCGCCGAAAAUGUCCGGGGCUAAAACACAACACCGAAGCUUAGGAAUGUAAUUAUACAUUGGUAGAGGAGCAUUCUUAAAGAGACGAAGCAGUACCGAUAAGGAGCUGUGGAUUUUUAAGAAGAGAGAAUGCCGGAAUGAGUAGCGAGAUGGAGGUGGGAAUCCUCCAGGCCGAAUAUCUAAGGUUUCCAGAGUAAAGCUGAUCUGCUCUGGGUAAGUCGGGGCCUAAGGCGAGGUCGAAAGACGUAGUCGAUGGAUAACAGGUUGAAAUUCCUGUACUGCAUAUCAUCAGAACUGUGGGGACACAGAGAGAUACCGGAACCUGGGAAUGAAGAUACCAGGGCAAGCGAGGUAGGUGCUAAGCUGGCAAAACCGCUUAGUAAGCCGAAGACGUGAUGCGGAGCGAAUUAAAGUAGCGAAGUCCGGGAUUCGAGCUGUCGAGAAAAGCCGCUAUUGUGUGAUAUGUACCCGUACCGUAAACCGACACAGGUGGAUGAGGAGAGAAUCCUAAGGCCGGCGGGAGAAGCAUUGUUAAGGAACUCGGCAAAAUGACCCUGUAACUUCGGGAUAAAGGGUGCCACAGAGAUGUGGCCGCAGAGAA
rnacentral:rRNA from 1 species